GCUGGGCAAAGUGGUGCACACCUGUAAUCCCAGCAGCUUGGGAGGCUGAGGCAGGAGAAUUGCAAAUUCAAAGCCAUCCUCAGCAACUCAGCGAGAUCCUGUCUCUA
rnacentral:sRNA from 1 species